rnacentral:rRNA from 1 species
GAUGAACGCUGGCGGCGUGCUUAACACAUGCAAGUCGAGCGAGUGAGUUCUUCGGAACGAUCUAGCGGCGGACGGGUGAGUAACACGUGGGCAACCUGCCUCAUAGAGGGGAAUAGCCUCCCGAAAGGGAGAUUAAUACCGCAUAAAAUUAUCGAGUGGCAUCACAUGAUAAUCAAAGGAGUAAUCCGCUAUGAGAUGGGCCCGCGGCGCAUUAGCUAGUUGGUGAGGUAACGGCUCACCAAGGCGACGAUGCGGAGCCGACCUGAGAGGGUGGUCGGCCACAUUGGGACUAAGACACGGCCCAGACCCCUACGGGAGGCAGCAGUGGGGAAUAUUGCACAAUGGGGGAAACCCUGAUGCAGCAACGCCGCGUGAGUGAUGAAGGUCUUCGGAUUGUAAAGCUCUGUCUUUGGGGACGAUAAUGACGGUACCAAGGAGGAAGCCACGGCUAACUACGUGCCAGCCGCCGCGGUAA